rnacentral:lncRNA from 1 species
AGCAAGAGAAGGGAAGAACACGACAGUUGGGAGUGAUCAGGCAACAAUGGCAACAGAGCAUCAUCCAGCGGAAGCAACACAUAUACCGGGAGCAGCAGUCUACUUCACAUCUUCAGGUUGAGGGGAACAUUUGGUCUUGUGGCUUUCCUUUGCUUCACAGUGUUUAGCAAGGCGAGCACAAUAUUGGAAUCACUAUAGUAACCAUAGUCAUCAAUAAAUUUAUUUUUUAGCAACUAAUACUAUAAAGAAUUUUUCUACCUUAAUCCGUUUACUUGUUGUUUCCUCGAUGAUGCCUCCAUCUCUUUAAUUUUGCUUGACCAAACACAACAAAAGAUACCAACAUGGUUAUCUACAACUACAAAUUUCAGGUUGUAGCCAUAAUUUAAUUAUGACAUCCUCGUGGCUUAAAUCUUCAAAACAGAUAACAAUCACUAUGAAAUAAAUGUCAAACAUAAAUUUAUUUUGGGUGCAACUCUUGCUUCACUGACCAAACUCAAAUACGAUAUUGUUGGAAAGCUACAAACAUAUCCUAUAACUUCCUUUUUGCCUCAACUCAAAAUAUGCAGAAAUUUAUACCUGAGUGCAUUGAUUUGUAUAAAAUUAUCUUGAUGAACCCCAUCAAGUGCCUCUUGGAACAUCUCUUCGAU